AUUGAACGCUGGCGGCAGGCCUAACACAUGCAAGUCGAACGCUCGUAGCAAUACGGGAGUGGCAGACGGGUGCGCAACGCGUGGGAACAUGCCCUUUGGUUCGGAAUAACUCAGGGAAACUUGAGCUAAUACCGGAUAAGCCCGAGAGGGGAAAGAUUUAUUGCCGAAGGAUUGGCCCGCGUCUGAUUAGCUAGUUGGUAGGGUAAUGGCCUACCAAGGCGACGAUCAGUAGCUGGUCUGAGAGGAUGAUCAGCCACACUGGGACUGAGACACGGCCCAGACUCCUACGGGAGGCAGCAGUGGGGAAUAUUGGACAAUGGGCGCAAGCCUGAUCCAGCCAUGCCGCGUGAGUGAUGACGGCCUUAGGGUUGUAAAGCUCUUUUACCUGGGAAGAUAAUGACGGUACCAGGAGAAUAAGCCUCGGCUAACUUCGUG
rnacentral:rRNA from 1 species